GGCCCAAUGGUCUAGUAGUAUGAUACGCGCUUCGGGUGUAAUCCCGGCACUCCAGGUGCCCAAAUGCGCGGGGUCCCGGGUUCAAUUCCCGGUUGGGCCC